rnacentral:lncRNA from 1 species
UCUUCAGUAUCUAUUAUUCAAAAUUAUAUUUUUGUAUUAAUUCUAAUUCAAAAUUAAAUCUAACAAAUUCUAGAUCAAAACCCUACUUAGGAUCGGACUCUUCACUAAACUCGAUCAAAAUCAUCAAAAGAAAGUCUUUCACUAUGCUAAUCUUAGAAAAAUAACUUUGAGAGAGAGAAAUCCAUCAAGAGAAAGAAACAAUCUAGAAAAAAUCCAAUUCUAAAGAGAGAAAGUAAGGAUUCAGACUGAAGGGAGAGAGAAAAG